ACCUCUGAUUAUAUGGCCCUUUCCUUCUUGCAGGCUCCUAGUGAUCACGCUGGGGCGUCGUGUCUACGGGCAAACCUGCUGUCCUCUCAGCAGACCUGGGAAAAGUCUCCCUCGGCGCUCUGUAUGAAAGGAUAGGGGCGUCCCCCGCGCUGGAGCUGCCAGAUUGAAGCGCGAAGCUGCGGCCAUCUGCAGCCUGAGGCCUUGUUACAGAGCUGGGUUGAAGGAGGCAGGGUAUGCAGAGGACAAGGCCUGGACUCUGCUUUCCUCCUCCAGUGUAAUCGGCCUGGAGAACAAGUUUCCACAGUUACCUAGUUGCUGUUUGAGCUGUGCUUUCUUUCUCACAAAGCAAACAAGCACGAAGUUUAGUCCGUUAGCCAGCUUGAAGCCCUCACAGGCGGUACCGGGAACCAAGAGGGACGCCUCUCCACCCCUGCAAGAAAGGAGCAAACACUGCAGUGCAGUGCAUCAUCUGGACCUCAAGGAUCCGUUUGCCCAGUCACAAGCCUGGGACUGCCUGCUGGGCCAGGAAAGAAGGGAGCAAAAUGGCCUGUGAGUGCCCCCGCAUUGGGCACUUGGGGCUGGGCUCUCCACUUUUCAGUGUUCUCACCUCCUCCCCAGCUGGAGCCCCUGCCCCAGACAGCUGACAGUCUGGCUAGGAGGACAGACAGCAAUUCCUGAGCCCUGGACCUAUGGCCAAUGAGUGAUGGGCAGUGAGGAACUACACAGUUUCUCACUUUCUUACAGGAAUCAAAGGGAGAUUUUGCCAAACUAGUAAAAAUAACCUCAUCGGCAGAAUUCUCCUUGAGCUUUUCUGUUAAUGAACAUUGCUUGGCUUCACUGCCAGACUGGAAUCUGAAGGGGCAUGACACCCACUCCCAGGAGAUAACUGGGCCAGCCACUUCUUUAGCAGCGCUAAUCUUGGGCCAGUGCCCUCCUCUGAGGACCUCCCUCAGGGCCAGCUUCUACUCUCUGCCUCCCCUGCCUGUUCUUUUAAUAAGUCAGGAAAACCAGCCAACACCUGAGACCAAAGACCUUGCUUCUGUUUCCCUCUGUGGCACAGCAGGCGGCAGCUGGAAGAGCCCUGGAAAGAAAGAGUAUUGGUUUUUUCCCCCUCCCAGUACUGGGGAUUCAACCCAGAGAAUACUGUGCUCCUAAUGCUCACAGGACCUCAUUAAGACUGGCCUGAACUUGCCAUCGCCCUGCAUCAGUCUCUUGAGUAAAUUGGGAUGGAGGGUGUGGUGUCACCCACCUGUAAUGCCAGCACUCGGGAAACUGAGGCAGGAGGAUUGCUGUGAGUCCUAGACUACAGAGCAAGACCCUGUCUAAACAGAAUCAAAACAAAACAAAACCAUACUGGGUCGCUGAGAUUACAGGGAUACCCAGCGAGUGCUGCCUUUUUGGAGGGCCACUCACUUAUCUGGCCUGAAGAGUAUUCUCAACCCCAUUAUCCCAGCACCAUGCUGCAGGUGUCUCACCCAGGAGCCAAAGUGGUGUGGUCUCCUUCAUGGCCUCAGUUUCCCAUUUGUGAAUCACACUUUUGGCUCCAGGGCUUGCAGAGGCUGUGCUCAUGACAGCUGCACCCCACUCCUGACGUCAGCAGUGAGGUGCCAAGCCCUCUCUGCUCAUUUGUCACCCUCUGCCUCUGCCUCUGCCUCAUCAGCAGCCAAAUACUGGCAUGCCCCCAGGUCCUCCAGGCACAGAAGUGCUCAGAAUGGAACCCAGUGGCUCACUCAUGCUUAGCAAGUGCUCUGCCACCGAACUACUCAUCCAGCCCUGGUCAUACAUUAUAAAUGGUCUCACUGUGUAGCCCAGGCUGGUCUUGAACUCUCAGUGUUCCCUGGCUUUCAUCUCCAGAGUGCUGGGUUUAUAGGUGUGCACCACCUCACCUGGCUCUGCUACUGUUAACUCUAUCAGCACCUAGGGCCAGAGUGAGGAGGAGUAAAAACUUCCCGGAGUUUUCAUCAGAGGUGGAGAACAAAGGACGGGGAAAUCAGCAUCUUCUGUGGAUUUCAUCGUCAGGAUGGUGGGUUUGCGGAAUGGAGCAAGGUGCCAAAAAACUGUGGUGUCUCAUCUGCCAACGACAGUACAGAAGAUGCUGCUUGGAGCUGGGACAGGGAAGGUGGGGUUACAGUGGGCUCCAGGGCAGCCAGGGGAGCAAUGGGGCAGGCAGCUGCCCCUGUGAACCCCCCUGAUGAGCACUACCAGCUUGCUGUCCAAACUGGGGUUUGCCCAGAGCAGCCACCAGUCUCUUCCUGCUGCUCCCUGCUAGGUGGCAGAGACCAUACAACCCAGGCUGCGGUCACCCCAGCUCAGCUGCUACAGGGCUGAAGGCCUUAUUCACAGCCUGACCAUGUGCCAUCUGAGGGCAGCAAGGCAUCCAGAGCCAAGGUGGGGCCUUCAAGAGGCAAUGAAGUAAUGGGGGCCCUGAGUUCAAGGAGGAGUGGGAUCCUGCUGUUCUCUCACCUGCUCUUGUCCAUCUGCCUCCAGCCUUCGGGUGACACAGGUGGCCCUCAUCAGGUGGGGGCUCCCUGUCUUGGGCUUCUCUGCCUCCAGAAGUCUGAGAAAUAAAUGGCUGUUCAUUAGAA